GUUUUUCUCCUACCGCAGCCUACACACCCACUCCACUGGAGCUCUCUUCCCAAAAUCUUAGCAACAUUUCUGGCAAAUCAUAACUCUCUGGUAGGUGGGGGUGUUAGAAUAGCCUCAUUGUCAGGUUUAAAAAUUUACCUCGGAACAUAAACUAACUGAAGUUAAAACCUCACUCUCUCACCUAGUUCAACCUCCUUCCCCAAGAUCAGCUCAGACUCUAAGCGGCCCUGGAAUGCACAGAGGAGCAGCAAGCGGGGCUUGCAGUUUCAUGUUUUCUUUUGCUCUCCUUGCUUGAUUUCCUUUCCCACCACCUCUUCUCCUAUUGACUUCUUCAGGAGAGCAUCUGGAGAAGGAAUGACAGAAGACGGAAAGAAACGCCUUUCCAUUCGGUUGGUGUGGUUCUCCCCUGCUGUGGCAGGUACCUUCUAUCACGGGGCCUCCGCACGCUUCAGAGACGCUCCCACCCCACAUUCUGUUUCAUGCAAGACUAUGUUUUGAACAUGUGACUUUAAACGUUUGCUAUCGUCACCCUCUUGGCUGUGAGCCUGGGAAGCACGGAGAUGGAGCCUCCUGUGGCUGCUGUUUGGGCACAGAGAAUCAGAGAUCCAUGGAACUUCGUACUGAAAAGGGCUUUAAAGCGAAAGGAAAUGAAAAAUGGUCCUAAUGCAGGUAUAAGCAAACUGAGGACAGUUUGAGUAGAAAACUUGAAAUGUAUGCUUAUCUUUUAACACGUCUGGUUAUGGAGUCUAUUUAGUGUGUUAAUCGGUCAAGUGUGAGUUCCGUUCUCCACCCCUGUGUCCAGCUUCACCUACAAAACGCAUCCUGGGAGGCGGGAAAGGCUGGUUUCCGGGAAACCCCACAAGGCCCACCCGUUUGGUUGCCUGAGGAAAAAUAACCCCAAAUCAAAUUCAGGUUCACAUUCAGCUUUUUAUUCAGGAACACUAUGGGGGACAUUUGGUUUGGUAAGGUGUGAUUUCGGCUCGUUUUGUUCUGGGACGUUACAUGGAUUUAUGGCAAAAUUUUAAAAUUAACCACUUCCAACUAACUCUACAUACAGGGAUUGAAAAAAAAAUUACAAAGGAAUAUUUGGAGAAGAGGAAGGCUGCAAGACUGGCCACCACUCUGCUGAACAGGCCCGUGAGGUCCAGGGGGGCAGCCACAAGCCACACGGGGCUACUGAGCACCGGGAUGUGCCUAGUCCAAAGCGCAAUGUGCUGAAAGCGCUGGUUGCUCUCCCUGUCUUUCGCUUCAUUCGAGACCUCCGCUGUUGAGUGUUCCUUAAGGUCACUCUAAAUAACUUCCUCUCAAGCCCAGGCUGCAAGCAGUUACAUCUUGGAAUGUGUAUUUUUACCUCAAACUCUAAAAAGGAGCUUCUUGUCCACAAACACCUUCAUUCCUCAGUGUGUUUAAUUCUUGCUUCUGGAAAGAUCACAGGAG
rnacentral:lncRNA from 1 species